CUAUUCAUAUCUUCACAUUUAACUGUUAUUCCAUCUCCAUUACUGAUGAGGUCAUAUUGAGGGUGUCAUAUUGACUUGAUGGGUAUGAGGUACUGGCUAAGAAAUCUAUGAACCAGAAGGCUAUGAAGUGAACUAUGAUGAAUGAUGAAAGUCAAAAGAUAUAAUGUAGGUGCUGCCAGAUGGAGUUCUGUCUAAAGGAAUGAAGUGGUCCAACCCUGUUUGAAGUACCAUCAAACUCGUCAUCCUAUGAGAUUAAAUAACUCACUAGCAAUCAUAUAGUAAAUAUGUGUUUUUCUGUUUUCUCUUAUAAAUAUAAUAAAUAUAUUAUAUAUAAAUAAA